rnacentral:rRNA from 1 species
CAGGGUACUCGAGUGGCGAACGGGUGAGUAACACGUGGGUGAUCUGCCCUGCACUUCGGGAUAAGCCUGGGAAACUGGGUCUAAUACCGGAUAGGAGCCAUUUUUAGUGUGAUGGUUGGAAAGUUUUUUCGGUGUAGGAUGAGCUCGCGGCCUAUCAGCUUGUUGGUGGGGUAAUGGCCUACCAAGGCGGCGACGGGUAGCCGGCCUGAGAGGGUGGACGGCCACAUUGGGACUGAGAUACGGCCCAG